rnacentral:rRNA from 1 species
GAUGAACGCUGGCGGCGUGCCUAACACAUGCAAGUCGAGCGGCAGCGAGGGGUGCUUGCACCCUGUCGGCGAGCGGCGGACGGCUGAGUAACGCGUGGGAACGUGCCCCAAAGUGAGGAAUAACUGCCCGAAAGGGUAGCUAAUACCGCAUAUUAUCUUCGGAUCAAAGGAUUUAUCCGCUUUGGGAGCGGCUCGCGUCGGAUUAGGUAGUUGGCGAGGUAAUGGCUCACCAAGCCGACGAUCCGUAGCUGGUCUGAGAGGAUGACCAGCCAGACUGGAACUGAGACACGGUCCAGACUCCUACGGGAGGCAGCAGUGAGGAAUCUUCCACAAUGGGCGAAAGCCUGAUGGAGCAACGCCGCGUGCAGGACGAAGGCCUUCGGAUUGUAAACUGCUUUUAUAAGUGAGGAAUAUGACGGUAACUUAUGAAUAAGGAUCGGCUAACUACGUG